rnacentral:tRNA from 2 species
UUCCUCAGUAGCUCAGCGGUAGAGCGGUCGGCUGUUAACUGAUUGGUCGUAGGUUCGAAUCCUACUUGGGGAGA